rfam:Felis catus isolate Cinnamon breed Abyssinian chromosome A2, whole genome shotgun sequence.
GCCUGGGUGGCUCAGUCAGUUAAGCGUCUGACUUCGACUCAGGUCCUGAUCUCACAGUUUGCGAGUUCGAGCCCCGCAUCGGGCU